GCCAAGUGCAAACGCCGGGUAGCUACGUGUGGAAGGGAUAACCGCUGAAAGCAUAUAAGCGGGAAGCCCACUUCAAGAUGAGAUUUCCCAUCGCAAGAGUAAGGCCUCUGGAAGACUACCAGUUUGAUAGGUUGGAGGUGUAAGCACAGCAAUGUGUUCAGCUGACCAAUACUAAUCGGCCGAGGUCUUAACCUA
rnacentral:rRNA from 1 species